AGUGAACGCUGGCGGUAGGCCUAACACAUGCAAGUCGAACGGCAGCACAGUAAGAGCUUGCUCUUACGGGUGGCGAGUGGCGGACGGGUGAGGAAUACAUCGGAAUCUACUUUUUCGUGGGGGAUAACGUAGGGAAACUUACGCUAAUACCGCAUACGACCUACGGGUGAAAGCAGGGGAUCUUCGGACCUUGCGCGAUUGAUUGAGCCGAUGUCGGAUUAGCUAGUUGGCGGGGUAAAGGCCCACCAAGGCGACGAUCCGUAGCUGGUCUGAGAGGAUGAUCAGCCACACUUGAACUGAGACACGGUCCAGAGUCCUACGGGAGGCAGCAGUGGGGAAUAUUGGACGAUGGGCGGAAGCCUGAUCCAGCCAGACCGCGUGGGUGAAGAAGGCCUUCGGGUUGUAAAGCCCUUUUGUUGGGAAAGAAAAGCAGCAGGUUAAUACCCCGCUGUUCUGACGGUACCCAAAGAAUAAGCACCGGCUAACUUCGUG
rnacentral:rRNA from 1 species